GACGAACGCUAGCGGCAGGCCUAAUACAUGCAAGUCGAGGGGUAACAGGUCCUUCGGGAUGCUGACGACCGGCGCACGGGUGCGUAACGCGUAUACAACUUGCCCUAUAGAGGGGGAUAGGCUGUGGAAACGCAGAUUAAUACCCCAUGAGUCCUUAAUUCGGCAUCGAAUAAAGGAGAAAGAUUAAUCGCUAUAGGAUGGGUAUGCGUGACAUUAGCUAGUUGGAGAGGUAAUGGCUCCCCAAGGCGACGAUGUCUAGCUGGUCUGAGAGGAUGAUCAGCCACACGGGCACUGAGACACGGGCCCG
rnacentral:rRNA from 1 species